ensembl:lincRNA
GGGACCCAGCACGUGGGGGCCACAGAGGGGAGUCUGGGGUCCUAAGUCACAGGGGCACAGUGCCACUGGAAGUCCUCAGGAGAGACAGGGCCAGGGUGGCACUGGGGGUUUCUGGGACACUGGGACCGUGAAAUAUCCUCAGGGAUGGAUGGCUGCGCAGUAUGGAGAGGUAUGGAGAGCUGGCCGGGCUGGAGUGUCCUAAGCUGGCAGUCACAGUGAGGCACGGGGAGCGGGGAGGGAGGUGAGAAGGGGGAGGGAAGCGGUCGGGGCAGGGCAAAGAACGGAUCAGGCCUGUCCCUCGAUGAGGGGGGCACAUGGGGAAAGCCUGGCCCACUCCAACUCCCUGAAGCCCCCAAUACGCCCUAAGAACCGUGGUCCAAUCCCUGGGGGCAUGUGCCUUCCCCGCCCCGGGCCUCCGCCCAGAUGCCCUUCCCCUUGGGUCGGCCUGGCAGCCCCAAAUCCCCACGGUGGACUCUGCCCUCGACCCCCAUGAGCUGGCUCAGCCCUCACUCACACACAGAUGCGCGUGCGCGCCAUCCUCACUGGAGGGGCAGCCGGGUCGGGCAGGGGCGCCCGCCGCCCGGCCAGCUUACCCUGGCCGGCAGCACCGAUGCCCAGGUGCGUCAGGUUGGCUGCCAGGUUGCCGGUGCUGCUGGAGCUGCUCAGCGCGGGGAAGGUGGGCUCCUCGGGGUCCAGCGGGGUCGGGAGGGGGGAGGGGAAGUGGAUGUUGGUCAGGUCAGGCAGGGAGCCCCCCGUGUUGUGGGUGGCGGGGAUCAGGGCUGUAGUGUUUUCCUGGUCGGCAGAUGGAAAGAUGCUGGGGGGAAAGGCCAGACAGAGGGGAGGUGAGCUCUCAGGACGGCGGCUGGCCUGUUCUCCCCCAGAAGCUGUGGUGGGGGCAGGAGAAGGCUGGUUACGAAAAAAAAAAAUCAGCAGGAGAGAUCUGAAGCCCCGGAAAGCUCUUUUCAUUGGAAUGUCCAAAAAAAAAAGAGAGAGAGAAGAGGCAAGAACAAGAAAGAAUUUCAUGGAAACAUUUCUUUGGGGUUUUGUAAAAUCCUUUCCCACCCCCACAUGGAGCCCAAAACUCAGGCCAGAACAGUCUGACGGUAUUGCCCCUUUAACAUACUGUUCUGACAUGCAAAUUCCCUCACUUCCCCUCAAAACGGAGAGCACUUCCACUUUCAAAGCCAAUUUUGGUUUUAUUGUCCAUGUGGCUCGAUGGAGCGCAGCAGCGCAGCACAGCUGGUUGGCUCACGCCCCGGCCGACGCAGUACCAGGGAGUUCCAGGCCACUCCGCCCCAGCGUCCUGGGUACAGCGAGAGAGAGAAAAAGAGAGACAGAGAGAAAGACCAGAGAGAGAGAGAGACCCAGAGAAGAAGAAACCAGGGAGAGAGAAAGCAACCAGAGAGAGAGAGCCCCAGAGACGGGGGAACAGAGACCCAGGGAGAAAGAGAGACCCAGAGAUGGGGGACAGAACAGAGAGGGGCUCGGGGGCUGGGGACUGGGCUCGGGUGGUGACCGGGAAGGAACGCGCCUGGCCUGUCUCUCCCCCCCCCCCCCCUGGCCUCCUGUCCAACCACACCGGAAGCUUCUCUGGCCGCUCCUCCCGCCCGCUUGA